rnacentral:rRNA from 1 species
UACACAUGCAGUCGACGAGAAGUUCCUUCGGGAGCGAGUACAGUGGCGGACGGGUGAGUAACGCAUGGGAAUCUGCCCAGUAGUGGGGAAUAACCCGGGGAAACUCGGGCUAAUACCGCAUACGUCCUACGGGAGAAAGCGGGGGAUCUUCGGACCUCGCGCUACUGGAUGAGCCCAUGUCAGAUUAGCUUGUUGGUGGGGUAAUGGCCUACCAAGGCAACGAUCUGUAGCUGGUCUGAGAGGACGAUCAGCCACACUGGGACUGAGACACGGCCCAGACUCCUACGGGAGGCAGCAGUGGGGAAUAUUGGACAAUGGGCGAAAGCCUGAUCCAGCAAUGCCGCGUGUGUGAAGAAGGCCUGCGGGUUGUAAAGCACUUUCAUCAGGGACGAAAAACCCGGGGCGAAUACCCCCGGGCCUUGACUUAACCUGAACAAGAAGCACCGGCUAACUCCGUGCCAGCAGCCGCGGUAAUACGGAGGGUGCGAGCGUUAAUCGGAAUUACUGGGCGUAAAGCGCACGUAGGAGGCGAGAUCAGUCAGAUGUGAAAUCCCCGGGCUCAACCUGGGAAUUGCAUUUGAUACUGUCUUGCUAGAGUCUGGCAGAGGUAAGCGGAAUUCCGGGUGUAGCGGUGGAAUGCGUAGAUAUCCGGAAGAACACCAGUGGCGAAGCGGCUUACUGGGCCAAGACUGACUCUGAGGUGCGAAAGCGUGGGGAGCGAACAGGAUUAGAUACCCUGGUAGUCCACGCCGUAAACGACGUCAACUAGCCGUUGGACGUUGAGGGUCAAGUGGUGCAGCUAACGCGAUAAGUUGACCGCCUGGGG